UACGUAGGGACCGAGCGUUGUCCGGAAUCAUUGGGCGUAAAGAGCGUGUAGGCGGCCAAUUAAGUCCUGCGUGAAAUCUCGGGGCUCAACCCCGAGCGGUCGUGGGAAACUGGUUGGCUAGAGUCCGGGAGAGGUGAGUGGAACUGCGAGUGUAGAGGUGAAAUUCGUAGAUAUUCGCAAGAACACCAGUGGCGAAGGCGGCUCACUGGCCCGGUACUGACGCUGAGGUGCGAAAGCGUGGGGAGCAAACAGG
rnacentral:rRNA from 1 species